rnacentral:rRNA from 1 species
GUAAUUCAACUUAGUACGAGAGGAACCGUUGAUUCAGAUAAUUGGUAUUUGCAUCUGUCCGAUCGGGCAAUGGUGCGAAGCUAUCAUCUGCUGGAUAAUGGCUGAACGCCUCUAAGCCAGAAUCCGUGCUAGAAGCGAUAACAUUGGUCCCGCACAUGCCUUGUGUUGGAAUA